GAGUUUGAUCAUGGCUCAGGAUGAACGCUGGCGGCGUGCCUAACACAUGCAAGUCGAGCGAGAAGUUUAUGGAAUGAGUUUUCGGACAAGUAAAGUAAACGGAAAGCGGCGGACGGGUGAGUAACGCGUAGGCAACCUGCCCCAUACAGAGGGAUAGCCUCGAGAAAUCGGGAUUAAAACCUCAUAAUGCCAUCGAGUCACAUGGCGUGAUGGCCAAAGAUUUAUCGGUAUGGGAUGGGCCUGCGUCUGAUUAGCUAGUUGGUGAGGUAACGGCUCACCAAGGCUGCGAUCAGUAGCAGAACUGAGAGGUUCAUCUGCCACAUUGGAACUGAGACACGGUCCAAACUCCUACGGGAGGCAGCAGUGAGGAAUAUUGCACAAUGGGCGAAAGCCUGAUGCAGCAACACCGCGUGAGCGAUGAAGGCCUUUGGGUCGUAAAGCUCUGUCCUUGGGGAAGAAACAAAUGACGGUACCCUUGGAGGAAGCCCCGGCUAACUACGUGCCAGCAGCCGCGGUAAUACGUAGGGGGCGAGCGUUAUCCGGAAUUAUUGGGCGUAAAGAGUGCGUAGGUGGUCUUGUAAGCGUGGGGUGAAAGGCAGUGGCUUAACCAUUGUUAGCCUUGCGAACUGUGAGACUUGAGUGCAGGAGAGGAAAGUGGAAUUCCUAGUGUAGCGGUGAAAUGCGUAGAUAUUAGGAGGAACACCAGUGGCGAAGGCGACUUUCUGGACUGUAACUGACACUGAGGCACGAAAGCGUGGGGAGCAAACAGGAUUAGAUACCCUGGUAGUCCACGCCGUAAACGAUGAACACUAGGUGUCGGGGUUUAAAGACUUCGGCGCCGCAG
rnacentral:rRNA from 1 species